CCUACGGGAGGCAGCAGUAGGGAAUAUUGCUCAAUGGGGGAAACCCUGAAGCAGCAACGCCGCGUGGAGGAUGACACUUUUCGGAGCGUAAACUCCUUUUCUUGGGGAAGAAAUUUGACGGUACCCAAGGAAUAAGCACCGGCUAACUCCGUGCCAGCAGCCGCGGUAAUACGGAGGGUGCAAGCGUUACUCGGAAUCACUGGGCGUAAAGGACGCGUAGGCGGAUUAUCAAGUCUCUUGUGAAAUCCAAUGGCUUAACCAUUGAACUGCUUGGGAAACUGAUAAUCUAGAGUGAGGGAGAGGCAGAUGGAAUUGGUGGUGUAGGGGUAAAAUCCGUAGAGAUCACCAGGAAUACCCAUUGCGAAGGCGAUCUGCUGGAACUCAACUGACGCUAAUGCGUGAAAGCGUGGGGAGCAAACAGGAUUAGAUACCCGUGUAGUC
rnacentral:rRNA from 1 species